GACACUCAAUGGGCCGCCGUUUAAGACGGUUGACGUGAAAAACUGGUUCAAGAUUGAGAAAGUCGGUGCGAUUGGGUACAAACUGCUAUAUUGCCCCAGUGUAGCCGGCACCCCUGCCGAUGGUGACUGCGGCAGUCUGGGUAGAGAGUUCGAGGAUGGGAAAAGGUGGUUGGUUCUGAGCGACAACCCGUUCUGGGUUGUCUUUGUCAAGGCAUAAUCUCUAAUGGGAAUUCCGAUUAAGUAGGUGGAGUGUCAUGAAAUAAGCGCUUUCAUGCCCAAGUGUUUUCUGUGUUCACCAGUGUGUGGAGUGUCAUGAAAUAAGGGCUUUUAUGCCCCGAGUGUUCACCAGUGUGUGGAGUGCCAUGAAAUAAGGGCUUUGUGCUUAUUUGUGUUAGCUAUGUGAGUCAGUAUGUCGAGAUGAGAACUAAUGUUUAAUGGUAGUUUAAUUCAAUGCUUUUUGGCCUUGAAGUUUACAUCUGUUUUGCUUGCAUCAUUCUCUCUUAAUA
rnacentral:misc_RNA from 1 species